rnacentral:rRNA from 1 species
UACGGGGGGGGCAAGCGUUGUUCGGAAUUACUGGGCGUAAAGGGCUCGUAGGUGGCCAACUAAGUCAGACGUGAAAUCCCUCGGCUCAACCUGGGAACUGCGUCUGAUACUGGACGGCUUGAGUUUGGGAGAGGGAUGUAGAAUUCCAGGUGUAGCGGUGAAAUGCGUAGAUAUCUGGAGGAAUACCGGUGGCGAAGGCGGCAUCCUGGACCAAUACUGACGCUGAGGCGCGAAAGCUAGGGGAGCAAACGGG